rnacentral:rRNA from 1 species
AGCUAGUUGGUGAGAUAAUAGCUCACCAAGGCGAUGAUACGUAGCAGACCUGAGAGGGUAAUCUGCCACAAUGGGACUGAGACACGGCCCAUACUCCUACGGGAGGCAGCAGUAGGGAAUCUUCCACAAUGGACGAAAGUCUGAUGGAGCAACGCCGCGUGAGUGAAGAAGGGUUUCGGCUCGUAAAACUCUGUUGUUAGAGAAGAACGGCUGUGAGAGUAACUGCUCACAGUGUGACGGUAUCUAACCAGAAAGUCACGGCUAACUACGUGCCAGCAGCCGCGGUAAUACGUAGGUGGCAAACGUUGUCCGGAUUUAUUGGGCGUAAAGGGAGCGCAGGCGGUUUAUUAAGUCUGAUGUGAAAGCCUUCGGCUUAACCGGAGAAGUGCAUCGGAAACUGAUAAACUUGAGUGCAGAAAAGGAUAGUGGAACUUCAUGUGUAGCGGUGAAAUGCGUAGAUAUAUGAAGGAACACCAGUGGCGAAGGCGGCUAUCUGGUCUGUAACUGACGCUGAGGCUCGAAAGCAUGGGUAGUAAACAGGAUUAGAUACCCUGGUAGUCCAUGCCGUAAACGAUGAAUGCUAGGUGUUGGGAGGUUUCCGCCUCUCAGUGCCGCAGCUAACGCAUUAAGCAUUCCGCCUGGGGAGUACGACCGCAAGGUUGAAACCCAAAGGAAUUGACGGGGACCCGCACAAGCGGUGGAGCAUGUGGUUUAAUUCGAUGCUACGCGAAGAACCUUACCAGGACUUGACAUCUUCUGCCAAUCUAAGAGAUUAGACG